rnacentral:lncRNA from 1 species
GAAAGCAUUAAAAAACUCUGCAAAAUUUGAGGCGGCUAAAACUGGAAAAUCCACUGUUUCAUUGAGCUUUUUCCCUGUUUCAAAUCAAAACAUUAGCUCACCUGAGGUCAAAUGACUUAAGUUUCCUUGUGAUUCUAAGUAGUCGAAGUUUUAGAGGUCCCUGGUUAUUUCGAGUUGAUUUUGGGUCAUUCAAGCUCAAUUUGAUGUUCAAUAGUGUUACUUGCUUUAAAUUUCUUCCUGGACUGCAUAAUAUCAUCUUCUGGGGUAAAAAUUGAUGUUAAACUGUUAUUGACUGCUGAAUCACUCUGCUAAUCUCCAUUUCUCUUCCUUUGUUUCAAUUUCCAGGUAUAUUCUUAAGCUCCUAAUUGAGGAUUUCUCUUUACAUAUGUAAAGGAUUUGAAAUUCAUGCUAAAUUAAGAGAAUGCUAGAGUUGAAGUGUUCUGAUGUUGUUAUCAUGUUCUCUCACGUCCUUGAAUUAGAAGUAG